AGCUGGGUUUUUCAGUUUCAUUCCACUUUCCGCCCUUUUCCCUUAAUGAACACAGGGCUAAUCUUGGGCCUUGUCGAAGGAAGAGGCCGCAGACGCUAAUGAGGAAGCUGCUGGGUUCCAAUAUUCAUCUCAUAAGGAGCCUUCUUUGUCUGCAAAGGAAAAACACACUGAUUAUCAUAAUAAGCUGAACUGGCGUCCGCAGGGCCGGGGCGACUCAGGUUCUUAAGCCACACUUCUAAUUUUGGGGCUGCAGCUGAAGGUCCUUUUGGUCCUCAUUGAAGCCUUUGCCCCAUCCCAGCGCGAAGGCUAUUGAAUGGGGUUGAAAGUUGAAGGUAGCUUUGGGAGAAGGGCCCCAGAGUCUGCAUUGUAGAAGGUUUCUUUGUUCACUCUCUGCAUGCACAACUAGCAAGAUUCAUUCCCACUCUCCAAGUGCCAGGCCAGGGGCUGCACCAGGGAUCAGUUUCUGUCCCUAGCUCUCACUUGACUUGUUUCAAGUCCCACUGAGAGCUUCGAAUUUAUGCCAGGGAUUAUGGGGUGGCAGCAGAGAGCCAAGUUACAGGCCCAGGGCUAGGCUAGUCAUCACAGUGACAACCAAGGGUGCCCCAUGCAGGUGAAGAGAUGGUGGGAUAUUGGCACCCUAGGGGUCCCCCAUGAAAGGACAUAGUUUCAAAUUUAGUUCAACUUUGGCACCAGUGUACUGAUGAGAUGGGGCUCAGGGGGCCAGUGGUUUGUCAGGACCAUUAAGGGGAGAUAUAUUUCAGAUACGGGGUUGAGGAUGUAGCUCUGUGGUAGGACAUUUGCCUGGUAUGAGCGAGGCCUUGGGUUCUCACCUGGCACCACAGCUCAGUUCUGCCAUUAGAUCCCUUGUUAAAUCUCUUAUCCCCUGCUACCCACUCACUCACUCAUAUACACGGUCCUCUUCCCCCCAGAAUUGCUACCCUUCAUUAAUAUCUUUAGAGCAGGUGUGUCCUGAGUAUGAUACCACUUCUUAUUUGUUCCAGGUUCUGGACAUUUCUCAUCCCAAGGCAGAUCAAUCAGGAUUAGAUCACUAUUUCCUUCAGUGAAAUGGCAAAAACUAGAGAAGGGAGGUGGUUGAAGCAAGACAAUGUUAUUAAUUCAGUGACCUCCCUCCCUUAGUGACUCCAUUGGCUAAAGGGUCUGUGGGAUUAUGGAUCAGAAUAGAACACUUUCCAAAUGAGAAGAACUAACUCUAGCCAGCCCUAAUAAAUCAGUGUAGAGGGAUGUUCACCUGGUCUGCGGAGGUGGAAACCUGCGGUCACCUCCUCUUUGUGGAGUUGAGAUUUGCUGAAUGACUAGGAUAGAGCAGCCCACCUUUUAUAGGGAGGAGUAUAAAUUAGGGACUUGGGAUGAGGGCGGGGCUCUCUGAAAGGGGGGACCUCAUGCCACCAUUGGAGUGUAGAGCCAGCAGUUUGUGAUGUUUCCAAGUGAGAAGACUUCUUUUAAAUAGUAAAGAAUCCCCAGGCCCCUCCUUCCCUCAAAUCUGUCAUUAAAAUAUAGCCUCCAAAGCCACUAUGAAUACUGUAGGAGCCCCUGGGGAGUAUUUUAGAGGUUGGGGGUGGGUGGGGGACAAUUCAGAACCCUGAAAUCCUAACAUCCUGAAACAUGGAGAGUCUGUGGCUUUUCUGCCCCAGUCAUUGGGUCUCUGGAAGCCCACCGGCCGCUUUCCCAAGGUCUUGAGCAGACAGAUUGGAGCUGGCUGCUCCUGGGAAUGUUGGGGGGCUCUUUAGCCCAUCUCCUUGCUUCCUGGGGCCCUCAACAGCAUGUCUGCUGCUUUGUAUGGACACGACUUUCCCAUUUUCCAGCCUGGUGGUCCUGGUUUGUUUCAGAGUUGGCCUGAGGACACCCAGAGACUGAUGGUUACUUAACAUUUAUUGAGGCAAAUCCUGGAGGCUCAGGAGAGAAUAGAAAACUGAGGCUUCAGUAGGGAAGUGAGGCUAGGAAAAGCCUAUCCCCCAAUUCUGAGAAGUGCUGUUUUCUGCCUUUAUUGCCCUCUCCCUCCACCUCUGUUCUUUCUCAGUCUUUAUCUCCCUCCCCUCCCUUACCAAUUCGGAAUCUGGCCUUCUUGAGGUGUCCUAGGCCAACCCUCCCUUCUCUGGGUGUCCAAGCGCCAGCCUGGUGUAUAGUGGGGCUCAGUAAGAGUAUGUGGGAUGUAUGCUUGGACAGGUGAGUGAAUGAAAGGACUCGACUGCCACACCUGAGCAGCUAGGUGGGCUACACAAGGAGUCCUAAGUUCAAAGGGUGGAUGGCGGGUGUCGUGGUCCUUGGGAAUGGACAGUUUCCCACCCCAGCCCUUUUUGAAGGGGGCCUUGCUGGUCGCGCCCCUGCAUUCACCCAUGUGUCCAUCCCGUCAUCCAACAGUUGAUCCUAACUGAGCAUGCCCAUGGUCCUGGUCCCCGGACUUGGCACCUGCCACCUAGUGCAUCCUUGAUGGUCUCUGCUUCGCAGGGAGGGUGGACCGGGGGGGUUGUUCAGGUGCUGGAGCGGUGGUCUCCGCCCUGUAGAUGGCAGCAAGGGGUCGGGGUCGGCUUGGUUUGUCUGCCUUGCCUUUCACACAAGCCUACCCAACCCCAGGGCUUUGCCCCCUCUCUGCUUCCCCCACUCCAUCCCUGUAGCUGAGUGGACAGCUGUUCUGAACCCCUGGCCCUGAAGCCUGGGACCAAGGUGGGUAUGAGAGCAGCUAUGGUGGGUAUCCCCAGGCCUUGGCCAUACAGGUCUCCCUCUUGAGAUGGGGUCUGUGGUGUGGACCUCCCCCAUCACAUGAUUCCUUCCUCCCCCUGGGGCUCAGUCCAGUUUCUUGGCCCCCUAGGAUGGGGCCUGUGCCCAUGGUGAGAGCCUCCAGGAAGCGUCUGCAGGCUGUAGUUGUGCUUGGCUGUCUACCUGCUCUUUUCCUGAUGGCUCCUCCCAUAUUUCUCAGCGGCCAAAUUCAUUACCCACUUGGCGCUCUUCUUGCCACAGGCCUAUCUGUUGCCUCCUCUCUGCCUCUGUCACUGGGCUUAGAACCUCCUGACCUGCCCUCUAACUAACAGACUCACUUUUCUGGCCAAGCUCACACCUGUGUAUUUCUUUUAGCCCUGCCUCCAGGUCUGAAUAUCAUCGCCCGGUCCGCUUAAUGUUGUCUUGGUUUACAAUAGGUCCUGGUGCCCGUGGGACAAGCUGUGUUGGUGUCUCCCUCUCCCCACACCUGGCUUCAGAUGUGUCCUUCUGUGGGCCUGGCUUCCAGGGUCUGAGUGACCCAGGGCUGUAGUCAGGCUUAUGUCCUGGCCUACUGGCCCGAGACCCCUCGUCAUCAUGCCUGGCCUGUUGCAUCGCUUCUGUACUUUUCCCUGCUGUGGCUCGUGUCAGAUGAACUGCCCCUGUCCACAGUAGAGCAGCUGGCUUCACCUGCUGGCCAUGUUGGCUGAAGAACAGCAGAUAGAAGUGGCAGAGGACCCCAUGAGACCCGCCACCAGGACCCAAGCCUUCUUCCCAGCAUGUCUCACCGCCUCAGUUGAGGCCGAAGUUACCACCUGGAAUUCUGCGUGGGAAGGGACCCUGGAUACCCGGAUACAUGCCCUUGGGACCCUCCAGUGCUAAAUCCCUCCACAGCUACGGGGACACCCUGCACACAUUCCCACGGGACAGACUGGACCCAAGACUCUGGACCGGGGCCUCCCCUUAUAGAGACUCACCCUCUGACUGAUGGACUGCGCUGACCUGGGGGUCAGGCGUGUAGCCUUGACCUCCAUCAUCCCCCAUGAACCCUGAGACUCGGGGAGCUGUUGACUCUUCAUUGUCCUCACUUAUGAAACAGGCCGGGACACCUACCUCACAGGACUGUUGUGAGGCUGCUGCAAUAUGGUUUAGAACCAAAGGGCUUGGCACGCCCACUUGUC